GCAGUCGAGGGGUAUAGUAGCAAUACUAGAGACCGGCGCACGGGUGCGUAACGCGUAUGCAAUCUACCUUUUACAGAGGGAUAGCCCAGAGAAAUUUGGAUUAAUACCUCAUAGCAUUAUGAAAUGGCAUCAUUUUAUAAUUAAAGUUACAACGGUAAAAGAUGAGCAUGCGUCCCAUUAGCUAGUUGGUGUGGUAACGGCAUACCAAGGCAACGAUGGGUAGGGGUCCUGAGAGGGAGAUCCCCCACACUGGUACUGAGACACGGACCAGACUCCUACGGGAGGCAGCAGUGAGGAAUAUUGGUCAAUGGGCGCAAGCCUGAACCAGCCAUGCCGCGUGCAGGAUGACGGUCCUAUGGAUUGUAAACUGCUUUUGUACAGGAAGAAACACUCGGACGUGUCCGAGCUUGACGGUACUGUAAGAAUAAGGAUCGGCUAACUCCGUGCCAGCAGCCGCGGUAAUACGGAGGAUCCAAGCGUUAUCCGGAAUCAUUGGGUUUAAAGGGUCCGUAGGCGGGUUUAUAAGUCAGUGGUGAAAGCCCAUCGCUCAACGAUGGAACGGCCAUUGAUACUGUAGAUCUUGAAUUAUUAGGAAGUAACUAGAAUAUGUAGUGUAGCGGUGAAAUGCUUAGAGAUUACAUGGAAUACCAAUUGCGAAGGCAGGUUACUACUAAUGGAUUGACGCUGAUGGACGAAAGCGUGGGUAGCGAACAGGAUUAGAUACCCUGGUAGUCCACGCCGUAAACGAUGGAUACUAGCUGUUCGGAGCAAUCUGAGUGGCUAAGCGAAAGUGAUAAGUAUCCCACCUGGAGAGUACGUUCGCAAGAAUGAAACUCAAAGGAAUUGACGGGGGCCCGCACAAGCGGUGGAGCAUGUG
rnacentral:rRNA from 1 species